rnacentral:lncRNA from 1 species
CAAAGUGCUGGGAUUACAGGUGUAAGUCACUGCACCUGGCCAGUUUGAUUCGUUUUUACUUAAUUUUUAUAUAUGGCGUGAGGUAGAGUAAGAAAAAACAAACUUUUUCCUUGUAUACUCUCAAUACUCAGUACAUCACUUCUGACACCAGAUGUUUAGGUUGUUUUCCCCAAGACCAAGCAAUUUCCCCGUUCUCUGCAGACACCAAGUAGGUAUUCUACAAUUCAAUUCUGACGCUAACCAGAGUUAAUGCAGACCAUACACCCAGGCUCAGUCCCAUGAAACUGCCCCCCACUUCAGACAUCAAUUGCAAAUAAUAGGUCCCCUGGUUACAGUUCCCACAGUACUUUGCUAGAAUCGCUCACAGAACUCAGAGAAACACUUCUGUUUCUCUUUUUAAAAGGAUGCAACUCAGGAAUAGCCAGAUUGAAGAGAUUCGUGGGGCAAGGUAUGGAGGAAGGGUCGUGGAACUUCCAUGCUCUCGGUACCUGCACAUGUUCAGCAACCUAGAAAGCUGUCUAAACCUUUUGGGUUUUUAUGGAGGGGCUUCAUUAUGAAGGCAUGACUGAUUAAAUCAUUGGCUACUGGUAAUCAACUUAACCUUCAGGACUUCCCCCUCCCCUGGAGGUCUACUCUCUAAUUACUUGGUUGGUUCCUCCUGGCAACUUCCCCCCAUCCAGAUCCCCCAGACAUUAGUCAUUUCAUUAGCAUACAAAGAUACUCACAGCUUGGGGACUUGGGAUGUUGCAAGGGUUUUAGGAGCUAUGUGCCAGGAAACUGGUACAAGACCAAAAUAUGUAUUUCUUCUAUCGCAAUAUCACAUAGAGGUUCAACUUUUUUUUUGCAUGUGUACAUUCAGUUAUUGCAGCAUCAUUUGUUGAAAGUCAGUUGGCCAUAGAUGUAUGGGUUUAUUUCUGAAGCCUCAAUUCUAUUCUAUUGAUCUGUAUGUUAGUAUCAUCUGUACUUGUGCCAACAGCCCACUGUUUAGACCACUGUAGUUUUAUAGUAAGUUUUGAAAUUGGGAAGUGUCAGUCCUCCAACUUUGGCCUUUUCCGCAUUGUUUUGGCUAUUCACGGCGUUUACAAUUCCAUAUGAGUUUGAUGGUAAGCUUUUCCAUUUUUCAAAAAGGCUGUUGGAAUUUUGAUAGGGCUCUCAGUGAAUCUGUAGACUGCUUUGGGUAGUACUGCCAUCUUAAUAAUACAGUCUUUCAAUACAUGAACACAGGAUUGUGGCAGGCCAGGUCUCACUAAUGCAGGCCUCCAUAACGACUGUUUCACUACUGACUGAAGGGUUAAGUUAAAUAUUAAAAGUCAGUCUCCUUAUACAAAGGCUGGGAUGCCACAAAAGCCCAUCAAGAGUUUUGCCUAGGUCUUUCCUGGGCCUUAAAGCAUGACAAAAUAAUACAGGAAUUCUUAACAGGGCCCAUUUAGGAUUGAACAAGUUUUAUUGUGGGUCUGAAGAAACUCCCCAGGCCUCCACAAACAAGUUUAUCGGGGGUCUGAAGGAACUCCCCAAACCUCCGUGAUUUAGCAGGAGACAAGGGUAACUGCCCCAGCACCUGGACCCAUUUAGAUUAAGUAAAUUUACUGAGGCUCCAGAGGAAGGCCUUCAGGACUCAGACCUUAGUUAUAGAUUAAAAGAAGUUAAUCACUUACAUCCUUAGAUGAAUGCACACUUACACAUGGACAUAUAGCUUAGAAGGUAUAUAAGCUCUGGAAAACUUUGUAAUUUUGAAUUGGUCUGGUGAUAAUUUCCAGGCCUUCUCCCUGUAACCGGUUGCAGAAAUGAAAACUCCCUUCCUCCCCAGUUCAUUUGCAUCUCGUUAUUGGGCCACGAGAAACAGCAGCCCAAACCUCAGUUUGGUCUGGGAACAAAAUUUGGCGUGCCAGCCAGGAGAGACUGGAAUGGUGCUGCAUUCAGUGGCCAGUGGCUUGCAAGGAGACAGUCUUUAGGGGGAUCCCAGCAGCUGCAGGUGAGAUUUUCCCAGGGACCCCCUUGAAGGCUGUCCUGUGCUCAAAAGUGCACAACCCUUACAAUGCUGGGUUAGAAUGGAGAUCAGGAGCGGACGAACUCAAAGGGUGAGUUAACUGAAUGGUAUGCUGGGAGCCUAUUGUUUUCCCAUCUAGGCUUGUUAAACCAUUUGUCUGGCACUGCCACGGGAAGCAAUAAUAAGGCUUGGUUAUACACCCGCUUUGCAUUUUGAUUGAGAUCAGGUUUUGAAUCUGUUUUGCCCGAGUGCACUUCCCCUUGUGUUGUCCAAAAUUUGUCUCCACUUGUUUAUCUGUCUUACUCCUUUUGAUACCAUGUAAACUUAAAAAUGGAAGGUAUUGGGUCCAUUCCUGCUGAGAGGCCUCUGGGAAGGAAAAUAUAAUUUUUAGGAGCUCAAUGGUUAAGUCAGCUUAAUUAAAAGCUAACAUCCAAGAUAUGUAAAUGUAUGUGUGCAUGUGUGCAUGCUUGUAUUUAAAAGGCCUUUAUGUUUUUGUUUAUUUCUUAGGACCUUGUCUUUUUGAGCAAAAGUUUUUUUCUUCUCAGUUGACUGAAUUCUGUUUUCUUCAUUAAUAGCUAUUGCAACAGAAGCUACUCUGGGUUUUUUAAGAAAAAGUGUAAUUUAGACACUUAGAAAUCUCUUGUGUGGGAAAAAAAAUUUUUUUUAAGUGCACUGUAAAAGCAUCACAUGGUCUAGCCUCAGAAUAAUUCUCCCUUUUUGAAAACCUCUUUCCUUUAUAAAUUACUCAGGUUUCUUUGUAGCACCAUGAGAGUGGACUAAUACAUGUCUUUCUAGGAAUUUGUCUGUAAACUAGUUUACCUAGUUUAUUGGUGUACAGUUUUUCUUUAUGUAAGGUGACUAAUAAUGUCCCCACUUUCAUUUCUGAUUUUAGUUUUACCUGUUUUAUUUUUCUUAGUCAGUAUGGCUACAGAUUUGUCAAUUUGGUCUUUCUUUUUAAAGAACUAACUGUUGACUUCUUUGAUCUCUCUUGUUUUUCUAUUCUCUAUUUGUCUGCACUCUAAUCUUAAUUUCCUUCCUUCUUCUCACAUUGGGUUUAGUUCUUUUUUUAUUUCCUUAAGGUGUUAUGUUAGAUUGCUGAUUUGAGAUCUUUUUUAUUUUUUAAAUUUAGCUCACUAACUCUUAUCUUUAUUAUUAUUGUUAUUGACACUGUUAAACCAACAGUUGCAGAAGUGUGCCACGAGUUUGUGGUUACAAAAGUGUAUAUAAUUUUUUUUUAGUUUUUUAAUUGUAACGUGUAAAAUUUACCAUUUUAAAUAUUUUUUAAAUGUACAAUGCAGUAGCAUUAAGUAGACUGACAUUGUUGUACAACCAUCAUCACUGUUUAUCUCCAGAACAUUUUUGUCAUCCCAAUCUCUAAUUCUAUACCCACUAAAUAAAAACUUCCCAUUCUACACUCUCUCCAGUCCCUGAUAACCACUAUUCUGCUUUCCAUCUCUACAAAUUUGUCUCUUCUAGGAACUCAUAUAAAUGGAAUCAUUUGACAUUUGACUUUUUGUGUCUGACUUAUUUCACUUAGUAUAAUAUUCUAAAGGUUCAUCUACAUUGUAGCAUCAAAUUUCAUUCCUUAAGGCUGAAUAGUAUUUCUUCACAUGUAUAUACCAGAUUUUGUUUAUCUAUUCAUCCAUCGAUGGACACUGUGUUACAUCCACCUUUUGGCUAUUGUGAAUAAUGCAGCUGUGAACACUGUUGUACAAAUACCUAUUCUAGUUUCUGCUUUCUUUUGGGAAUCUACCUAGAAGCAGAAUUGCUAGGCCAUAUGGUAACUCUAUGUUUAAUAUUUUGAGGAUCUGCCACACUGUUUUCAACAUUUUACAUUCCCACAAACAAUGCAUAGGGGUUCCAAUUUCUCCACAUCUUUGACAUUUAUAAUUUGCUUUUUUGAUAACUGCCAUCCUAAUGGAUGUGAAGUGGUAUUAAUUUGCAUUUCCUUAAUGAGUAGUUAUGCUGAGCAUCUUUUGAUGUGCUUAUUGGCCAUCUAUAUAUCCUUUUUGGAGAAAUGUCUAUUCAGGUCCUUUGCUAAUUUUUUUUGUUUUUGUUUUUUUUUGAGAGGAAGUUUCACUCUUGUUGCCCAGGCUGGAGUGUAAUGGCGCGAUCUCGGCUCACUGCAGCCUCCACCUCCCAGGUUCAAGAAAUUCGCCUGCCUCACCCUCUCCAGUAGCUGGGUAUACAGGCGUCCACUACCACACACGGCUUAUUUUUUGUAUUCUUUUUUUUUUUGAGACAGAGUUUCGCUCCGUCACCCAGGCUGGAGUGCAGCGGCGCGAUCUCGGCUCACUACAACCUCCGCCUCCCAGGUUCAAG